CCUACGGGAGGCAGCAGUGAGGAAUAUUGGUCAAUGGACGAGAGUCUGAACCAGCCAAGUAGCGUGAAGGAUGACUGCCCUAUGGGUUGUAAACUUCUUUUAUAAAGGAAUAAAACGAGGCACGUGUGCCUUUUUGCAUGUACUUUAUGAAUAAGGAUCGGCUAACUCCGUGCCAGCAGCCGCGGUAAUACGGAGGAUCCGAGUGUUAUCCGGAUUUAUUGGGUUUAAAGGGAGCGUAGAUGGGUUGUUAAGUCAGUUGUGAAAGUUUGCGGCUCAACCGUAAAAUUGCAAUUGAUACUGGCGGUCUUGAGAGCAGAUGAGGUAGGCGGAAUUCGUGGUGGAGCGGUGAAAUGCUUAGAUAUCACGAAGAACCCCGAUUGCGAAGGCAGCUUACUAAACUGUGACUGACAUUGAUGCUCGAAAGUGUGGGUAUCAAACAGGAUUAGAUACCCUAGUAGUC
rnacentral:rRNA from 1 species